GAUCUCAAAAUCCUGGCCUCGAGUGAUCCACCCUGCCUUGACCUCCAAAACUGCUGGGAUUAUAGGCAUGACCUGCUGCGCCCAGCCCAAACGCUUGAGGGGGUACUUCAAUCAAGUAGAACCUGUUGAAGUGUGAAUAGGAUGAGCAGGGAAAGUUGAAGUGUCAUCAGGAGAAAUAAGUUGGCUGUCGACCAAGAAGUGUCACAGGACAACUUUAGCAAAAAUGUCUCCAGUUUCAUAAGAAGAGUUGGGGCAGAGAUGAGCUUUUAACAGCACACUGGAAAUUAAUCUGUUUCUCAGGGAUAACUUACAGAGCCCUCAGAUGCCAGUGAGUACAAAUGUCAAUUUAUUAUUUUGCAAUGAGAAGGCAACUUACUCUUCUCAUCUGAAUAAUAUAUUUUCUCCACAGAGGAUAGACUUCCUUUAGAUGUCGACACAUUUUUCAAUAAUUGAUUGAUAGUCAUAAAAUCUAAAUAAGGAGAAAAUUUUAAUAAUAAAUCCUGAUAGUCUGAUGCAUGAAUAUUCUCAGUAGAAAUAUUCCUGCCUCCAGAAUGAGGAAAGCCGUAUAUCUCAUAUAUCUUCACAUCUGGCUACAGAAAACUGACAGUGAUAUUAUUUGCUUCUCCAACCUCUUUUUUUUUCCUCUCUUUCUUUGUAUUACUGACUAGUUAUUUUAACUGAUCUAUUUCAGAAGAGUAUCUGGGAGUAUUAAUAAAACUAUCUUUAUAAACUUUAUAAAAUUAACUAUUAAUCGGGAAAGAAGGAAGGGGGAGAAACCAAAAUAAACCAAGCUUGUAGCACAUUCAGCACAUUGAUCAUUAGGUCAGCUUACUCUCUAACUCAGUCCCUCAUAGUUAGUUGUUCAGUGCCUAUUCCCUCAGAAUCAUGCAGACCCUAUCAUAAGAGUAUAGUUCUUCUUAACUGUUCUGUAGAUAACAAUGUGAACUUUAUGAAAUGUUAAGUUUCCCCUUUGAGAGAUUCUUUCACGUCCUGCAUACCAGUGAAACUGCGGAUGUCAGCUGGUCUGAAGGACUCUGUGGAGAACAGCUCAUCUGAAGGACCUCAUUGAUGCCAGCUGGUCUGAAGGACCCCAGUAGGAGCUGACGGACCAAAUAGUGAAGUCUCAAAAUCUUGGUGAUUUCAUCCUCCUUACCCUAACCAAUCAAUGACCUCAAUUUUCCAGCCCCUUUCACUCUAUGAUCCUAUUUUAAAAAUCAUGGCCCAGAAAUCCUUGGGGAAAUGAAUUUGAAGGUCUCUUCCCAUCUCCUCCCUAGGUGUCCUGCAAUCAUUAAACUCUUUCUCUGCUGCAGAUCCUUCUGUCUCAGUGUAUUGGUGUGUCACUGCAUAGCAGGCAUAUAUAUGACCUAUUGGUUCUACAGCAUUAAUAUGCAGUUUUAUCCCAAGAACUUGGAGGAACAGAGACCGGGAAAUAUCGGGUAGAAGAGGGCAGUUCUUUGGCAAAGGCCCCACCCUCAUGCCUGAAGACCCGUGGCCCUACAUGAGAACAGGCAUUUCUGUUUUCACAUCCAAAAAGUUGCCUUUUGGCCCACCAUACACCCUAUCCUUCCCUAUAUAAACCCUGAAUCCCAAGCUCUAGAUGAGACCCACAAGUGAGGAGAAGAGGAGGCAAGCAGACCAGCAGACCAGUGAACCAGUAGACCAGCAAAUCAAUGACAAUGGAAAGAUGCUGCAGAGAAAGAUAAAAUAGGAAGGAUGUCCGGGAACUGAGGGGAGUUCACCCAUGGGCUGUCGGAAAAGAGUCAGCUGCUGGGUGGCCCAACUCCAGGGGAAGACCACCUUCCCAUUCCUUCACUCCUUCUGACUCCCCAUCCAUCUCACUGAGGACCACCUGUACCACUCAAUAAGACCCUGCACUCAUCCUUUGAGCCUGAACAUGAUCUGAUUCUUUUGGGACAUUGGGAAAGAGCUCGGGAUGCAGAAGGAUGUAACACUGGCACACUGCCCUUGUGAUAAGGCAGGAUCCAUUGAGCUGAUUAAAACACAAGCUGUCUGCAGACAGUAAAGUUAAAGGAGCACACUUUAACACACGCCCUCUUGGGCUUGAGGAGUCACAGACACCCACCCCUAGAAGCUGCCAGAGGACUGAGAGCCCAAAGCACUCACCCUUGCCUCUGCAUCUGCCCGACUGCAUGCGCCCCCUAGGAGUUUGAGCUGUGGGGCAACCA